CCUGGCCCACUUACCUUUAUCAUCUGUAGCUGUUGUUCAUGUGCUGGUUUUAGAGAGGAGAAGUUUUGGAGACAACCUGACGACGGGCCCGGGCCGAGGCAACAAGCGGUUCCUACAAGACUACAACAGUCCCCUGCCUCAGAAACUGGCCAAAAUCCCCCGGCACUCUACCGAUGGUGAGUCCUUCAUGGAGAACAGUGUUGCCGCAUCAGAGCACUUAAAAAAGAGCCCUCUUUCUCCCAACUCUAUAAUUCAAACUCCCGGCCUGAGGUCUCCCUCCAAGCUGCUACAUCAUAGAAACUCUACAGGCUCAGCCAGUUUCCGAGAGAGCCCGAGGCCUAGUGGUCAGGACCCUAACCUGUGGACAGUAGAGGAUGUCAUGCAGUAUAUCAGAGAGAUCGACCCAGUGCUGGCCCCACAUGCUGACCUCUUCAGGAAACAUGUAUGUAUUCUCUCAUAAUGUGAAGACGCUAAAAAUGAUUGUGUUUCAACCUACAUAUGGAAUCUGGUAUAAUUGUUUAAUCAUACACCUGACAGUAUACCUUAA